UUUGCUGAUAUUUCUUAACACAAAUUUGAUAUUAUCGGAGUCGCGGAGGAGCAAUUGCCUGUGAACUCCCAAGAGACACUUCUCCCGCUUAUAUUUUUAAUUGUUGGUUUCCCCUUUGGACUACCUGUGGUUCAUUCAAAUUGAAUCUCCCUUGAGUAUCGCAGGUUUUCGUAGAGCAUAAAUAAGCAAUCCAUUUGCUUUAUAAUCAAUAUUCUGAAUUAUAAACCAGAUAUUAAGUAUGAUGCAUAACAAAGUUUUGAUGCUGCUAAUGGAAACUUGAGGAUAAUAUCGUUCGCUAUGGCAUUCUGCAAUGAAUUCGGCAGUGUUUUUGAAGGUUUAUACAAUCCAAGAUGGCCUACUUGAUGGUGCUCUAUUGCGACUUCUACAAACUUUGAACGAUUAUCAAUCAACUAGAUCUAUAAACUUCUCAACUUUGUUCGAUACUGGAUUUUGUAUUGCACCGUAAAGCUUCGACAAAUAGAAGACAUUCGAUGCCUGGACGCAGAGGUAGAGGACGCAGGUUGAUUGCGUUCAAUUGAGAUAAAGUCGAAGAUUCACCAUCGUGUCCUUCCUACGUUCUGAAAGAAGGGCUCACAAAUUCCUCUUCAAAGCUCCAUCAAUCUAGCCAGUUGAUGCUUUGAACAACUAGAAAUUGGAUAUGAAUGGGAUCUGGACUAAAACCUUCAUAAAAACUUGUAUGACUUUUGCAGGUAUGUCGGUUCCCUUUCCUUUAAAUUCCAAAAUUACAAACUUAAAUAGCGUGGAUCGUUCUGCAUUUAUUCUUAACUGCAGACCUUUUAUUCUGUAGUGCAGACAUUACAUUUUUUUGGAAAACUUUUAUUUAAGAACUACCAUUAUAAUCCAAAAAUCAUAUUUUCCUUGAGAAUUAAAUCCUGUUCAUGACUUAUUUUACGUUGCUUUUGAUGAAAAGUUUCUUAAUGUUGUAAGCUUUGUAAAAACAUUUCUCUAAAAUUCUUCUGUAAUUUUGUUUCCUUCCUCAUAAAAUUAUUUCAAACUUACUGCUGGUGGCUCUGUUAUGAAACUUCUCUAAAAAACACUUUUAUUUUUAUUUCCUUGCGUAUUGAUUUAUGAUUAUCACUUACUAUCACUAGCUUUGCUUAUGAGUUUCUCUAAAAACCAACGUGUCAUGUUUUCUUGCUAAUUUGCUGUAGAGAGCUUUACGUUAAAGUUGCCCUAAAAUACUUCCUUCCUCUUUGUUUUUGCCUAACAAUAUUUAUUGCUACGUUGCUGUGGGGAGCUUUGCUUUAGAAUUAUUUUAAAAGCCUUCAUGUUCUCAUUUCCUUGCCUGUCAAUUUUUAUUGCUAAGUUGCUGUAGGGAGCUACCCUUCACAAUUUCCAUAAAAUCCUUUCCUCUCUUUCUUUAUUUGCCUGUCCAUUUUGUUUUGCUAAGUUGCUGUAGGGAGCUUUGCUUUGAAACUUCGCAAAAAGCCUUCGUUCUCUUUAUUUCAUUGCUUGUCAUUUUUUAAUGCUAAGUUGCUGUAGGGAGCUAUGCUUCAGAAUUCCCUAGAAUCCUUCGCUCUCUUUAAUUCGUUAUUUGUCAAUUUUUUUUGCUAAGUUGCUGUAGGGGGCUAUCUUUUAGAUUUUCCAUAAAAUCCUUUCCUCCCUUUCUUUUUUUUCCUGUCAAUUUUUUUUGCUAAUUUGCUGUAGAGAGCUAUGCUUCAGAAUUUUCAUAAAAUCCUUCGUUGGUUUUCUUUUAUUGCUUGUUGAUUUUUAUUGCUUCCUUGCUGUAGGGGGCUUUGUUUUAGAAUUUCCUCAAAAUCCUUGGCUCUCUUUAUUUCAUUGCCUGUCAUUUUUUAUUGCUUCGUUGCUGUACGGAGCUAUGCCUUUGAAUUUUCUUAAAGUCCUUAAACCUCUUUAUUUGAUUGCCUGUCAAUUUUUUUUGCUUAGUUGAUGUAGGGAGCUAUGCUUCAGAAUUUUCUUAAAAUCCAUCGCUUUCUUUAUUUCAUUGCCUGUCAAUUUUUUUUGCUAAGUUGCUGUAGGGAGCUUUUUUUUAGAAUUUUCCUAAAAUCCUUCGCUCUCUUUAAUUCAUUGCCUGGCAAUUUUUAUCGCUAAUUUGCUGUAGAGAGCUAUGCUUCAAAAUUUCCCUAGAAUCCUUCGCUCUCUUUAUUUAGUUAUCUGUCGAUUUUUAUUGCUUAGUUGCUGUAGGGAGCUUUGCUUUGGAAUUUCUAUAAAAUCCUUUCCUCUCUUUCUUUAUUUGCCUGUCAUUUUUUUGUUAAUUUGCGGUAGGGGGCUAUCUUUUAGAUUUUCCAUCAAAUCCUUUCCUUUCUUUAUAUCAUUCCUUGUCAUUUUUUAUUGCUUUGUUGCUGUAGGGACCUAUGCUUUAGAAUUUCCUAAAAAUCCUUCGUUUUCUUUAUUUCAUUGCCUGUCAUUCUACUGCUUCGUUGCUGUAAGAAGCUAUGCUUUAGACUUUCCCUUAAAACCUUGGCCAACUUUAUUUCAUUGCUUGUCAUUUCUAUUUCUAAGUUGCUGUAGGGAGCUAUGCUUUAGAAUGUUAUUGAAAUCCUUGGCUUUCUUUAUUUCGUUGCCUGUCAUUUCUUAUUGCUUCGUUGCUCAAGGGAGCUUUACUUUAGAAAUUUCCUAAAAUCCUUCGUUCUCUUAAUUUCAUUGCCGGUCAUUUUUAUUGCUUCGUUGCUGCAAGAAGCUAAGCUUUAGACUUUUCCUAAAAUCCUUCGUUCUCUUUAUUUCAAUGCCUGUCAUUUUUAUUGUUUUGUUGAUGUAAGGAGCUAUGCUUUAUAAUCUCCCUGAAAUCCUUCACUCUCUUUUUUUCAUUGCCUCUCUAUUUUUAAUGCUAAGUUGCUGUAGGGAGCUAUGCUUCAGAAUCUUCCUAAAAUUCUUCACUCUCUUUAUCUCAUUGCCUCUAUAUUUUUAAUGCUAAGAUGCUGUAGGGAGCUAUGUUUCAGAAUUUCCAAAAAAUCCUUCGUUGUCUUUAUUUCUUUGCCUCUCUAUUUUAAUGUUAAGUUGCUGUAGGGAGCUAUGCUUUAAAAUUUCACAAAAAUCCAUCGUUCUCUUUAUUUCAUUGCCUGUCAUUUUU